rnacentral:rRNA from 1 species
CGGCGGACGGGUGAGUAACACGUGGAUAACCUACCUAUAAGACUGGGAUAACUUCGGGAAACCGGAGCUAAUACCGGGUAAUAUAUUGAACCGCAUGGUUCAAUAGUGAAAGACGGUUUUGCUGUCACUUAUAGAUGGAUCCGCGCCGCAUUAGCUAGUUGGUAAGGUAACGGCUUACCAAGGCAACGAUGCGUAGCCGACCUGAGAGGGUGAUCGGCCACACUGGAACUGAGACACGGUCCAG